rnacentral:lncRNA from 1 species
AUGCAUAAACACAUGAUUCAUAUAUCUUAUAUUCAGGCAUUUCCAGUUUUCAGAUUCAUGGAAAGUAAAAAGUGUUUUUCUUUUUUUUUUUUUUCAGAUCAAGAAGCUAGCGUCUUUUGCGAAGAGCACAUUUCCAAACAGGGUAUUACUCACAGCAUCACUCUAAUAAUCAGGUCUCCGUUUCCAGAACACAGAGUCUGCACAGGAGUAGCCUGCAGGGACUCAGACCCAACCGCUUUCCUAGUACUCCACAUUGAAGAGCAGUCUCAUUUCACUGUUCUCACAGGUGCUACAGAAGGAAAACUUGUGGAGGGCAGCAAGCUGCCCUACUGAGACCCAGAGAGAAUUGACACCUGCCAGUCUCCAUGUGAAGUGGAUGCAGCAGGCUUUCCAGUGGUAAGUGAGCAGAUUCCUCUGAUACAUACAGAAUAUUUAUGUUCUGAUUCCUCUGAGAUUAUAAAACUUUACAUUUAAUGCUGAGAACAUUUUGAUGAAUUUCAAGUGAUCAGUGGGUUGACUAAUUGUUUUUUUUUAUUCAUAGUAGUAUUACAACUACUUGUACCCAACAGGUUUUUUACUGUGUCAUUUUCUGGGUAUGACGCCUUAGAAGAACAAUUCCUUUUCCUAACAGCUGAGAAGCCAAAAGUGAACCAAGUUGCAGGGAAGGACAGCACUAAGAUGCCAACACCAGAGUUGCAGUCCACUGGCCACCACUUGAGGAAUACUCAGUCCACGAAGGAGUUUUGGAGAGAGGCUCAGAACAAAAGGCCCUUUCUUCUCUACCUCUUCUCCCAAACACCUUCCAUCCAUAGACAGACAACUACACGGCGCACUCACACUGUGUAACCCACCAGUGUACUGCAGAACCCGCGGUACAUCUAAAGUAUAUCCUGACUACGACAAAAGCACUGCCUACGUGUUAACCCAAGGCAGUGUCAGUGGAACCACAUUUCAAUCGUUUUGUUCUUUAAUGAGUAGGAGAAUUUUAACAAGGUUGAGACACUACUUGAUACUAGCCAGGAUGUGAUCUCUUAUCAGAGCCUCAGUCUGAUUUCAGUAAGCAAGACAAUAAAAGGCUGAGAAAUAGCCUGUCCUCUCA